rnacentral:rRNA from 1 species
AUUGAACGCUGGCGGCAGGCCUAACACAUGCAAGUCGAACGGUAACAGGAAACAGCUUGCUGUUUCGCUGACGAGUGGCGGACGGGUGAGUAAUGUCUGGGAAACUGCCUGAUGGAGGGGGAUAACUACUGGAAACGGUAGCUAAUACCGCAUAACGUCGCAAGACCAAAGGGGGGGACCCUCGGGCCUCUUGCCAUCGGGUGUGCCCAGAUGGGAUUCGCUUGUUGGUGGGGUAACGGCUCACCAAGGCGACGAGCCCUAGCUGGUCUGAGAGGAUGACCAGCCACACUGGAACUGAGACACGGUCCAUACUCCUACGGGAGGCAGCAGUGGGGAAUAUUGCACAAUGGGCGCAAGCCUGAUGCAGCCAUGCCGCGUGUAUGAAGAAGGCCUUCGGGUUGUAAAGUACUUUCAGCGGGGAGGAAGGGAGUAAAGUUAAUACCUUGGCUCAUUGACGUUACCCGCAGAAGAAGCACCGGCUAACUACGUG